rnacentral:rRNA from 1 species
GCAGUAGCCGCUGGAAAACGGAGGGUGCAAGCGUUAAUCGGAAUUACUGGGCGUAAAGCGCACGCAGGCGGUCUGUCAAGUCAGAUGUGAAAUCCCCGGGCUUAACCUGGGAACUGCAUUUGAAACUGGCAGGCUAGAGUACGGCAGAGGGGGAUGGAAUUCCGCGUGUAGCAGUGAAAUGCGUAGAUAUGCGGAGGAACACCGAUGGCGAAGGCAAUCCCCUGGGCCUGUACUGACGCUCAUGCACGAAAGCGUGGGGAGCAAACAGGAUUAGAUACCCCCGUAGUCCCUGUCUCUUAUAC